rnacentral:rRNA from 1 species
CCUACGGGAGGCUGCAGUGAGGAAUUUUCCGCAAUGGGCGCAAGCCUGACGGAGCGACGCCGCGUGAGGGAUGAAGGCUUUCGGGUUGUAAACCUCUUUUGCAGGGGAAAAAGGUACAUGUGCUCAUACCACGUGUAUUUGAUGGUACUUUGCGAAUAAGCCCCGGCUAACUACGUGCCAGCAGCCGCGGUAAUACGUAGGGGGCGAGCGUUGUCCGGAGUUACUGGGCGUAAAGGGCGUGUAGGCGGUUGGAUAAGUCUGGUGUGAAAUUCUCUGGCUUAACCAGGGAGCUGCGCUGGAAACUGUCUGACUGGAGUUCGGUAGGGGUCACUGGAAUCCCCGGUGUAACGGUGAAAUGUGUAGAUAUCGGGGGGAACACCUGUGGCGAAGGCGGGUGACUGGGCCGCAACUGACGCUGAGACGCGAAAGCGUGGGGAGCAAACAGGAUUAGAUACCCCUGUAGUC